CACAUGGCGGCGGUUCAUUGUACGUGCGUUUCUAAAAGAUUCCGUGUUACGUGUAGACUCUGCUUCUUUGUAGUGUAUCAGUGAGCCAUGGAGACAGUGCAGGCGGGCCCGUGCGUCACCGAGGCCCCGAGGAAGCGAUCUUGGUGCUGUGACUCCGCGCCAGAGCAAGUACGUGUCUAGGAAGGGAAAGAGACAGCGGGCGUCCUCGUGGCGGCGGCCGGGGCUGAGUGGUGGCGCUCUCUCAUCUGCUUGAUCGCCUGCUUAGUAAUUUAGUAUUGAUGCGCCAAGAAGAGCGGCGGCGGCAGGGGACAGA